rnacentral:rRNA from 1 species
GACAGGGGAUGCGAGCGUUACUCGGAAUUACUGGGCGUAAAGCGUCUGCAGGUGUCUUAGAAAGUCUACGGUCAAAUGACGGAGCUCAACUCCGUCCGUGCUGUGGAAACUCCUAGGAUUGAGCCAUUCAGAGGCAUCUGGAAUGUCGUGUGGAGGGGUAAAAUCCGUAGAUCCACGAUGGAACGCCAAAAGCGAAGGCAGGAUGCUAGGAAUGUGCUGACACUCAGAGACGAAAGCGUGGGGAGCAAAGGGGAUUAGAAACCCCAGUAGU